GUCAAGAAAUCAUAUUAUGAAUGACAAUUCCAUCAGCCGAUAAGCACCAGGACUUUGGGCCUCCAAUGAUUAUCCAACUGAUGGACCCAUUAUCAUCCACUUAAUGGGAGGCUAUGAUCUAGUUAUCACCAUAACUAUUUCAUUUUAAAGACCUAAUAAUUUUAGAAGAUUUAAUUGAUUUAAAGGAUGAGGUCAGAUGAACCAGCUUAUCAUGAUCCUUCCACUGGCUUUACCAAGUCAGCUUAAGGGAGACCAUUAAAAGGAUCGGUCUAGGAGCACCUAAAUCAGUCACACUGAUUUACCUAGCUGAUAUGGGUCAGCUCGAAUAAUCAAGUGAUCCGAUCAAAACAUAAUUUCAUCAAAAGGCCAGGUAAGUUCGAUCGGUGGGAGGAUCUGUCAAAGCUUGCCUUAGACACCAUCAGAAAUGGCCACGUAAGUAGGCUGCCAAUUAAAAACCACCGGUUUGGUUUACCUUAGACACCAACUGGUUUAAUUAGUUUCGAUUAGAUCAACUUAACAGUUCGUACUAGACCGCUUAGCCAAGAAUCAAGUCCAUUUAGUUCUCGUUAAAGACAUGGACUUGACCAACUACAACUAUUGUAAUUGAUCUAGAGAAUCCUUGACCUAAUCUAAGACAACAAUUGAUUAGAUUUAGUCAAUUCUCUAAUUAAGUCCAUCUUUAAACUAACCUUAGGUCAACCCAAUUAAUGGACCUAAUUCUCUCUAACCCAUUAACCCAAUGUGUUAUGGUUUGUGUCUUAGGUUCUUCAAUUCACAAUUCUAGAACCUAAUCAAAUAACUUCUUAAUUCUCAAUUAAGUUUUGGGCUGAGGAUUGGGGUUUGGCUUUUCGAAAAUAAUUUUCGUAUUUGUAAAAUAUUUUUACAAUAUGAUUCUACCAACCAAGUUGCAUGUUUGAUUCAUAAUAAAAAUGCAAGUAAAAAGCAUGAAACUACUUUAGAUCUAAUCUAAACAAGUUCAUGUAAUUAAAACAAUUUCAACUUUAAACUAUGCAAAUUUUUCAGACAAAUAUAUGAUGGUUCUUUGCGCGAGAAUUAUUAACAAAGAGAUUUUAUUUUAGAUUUAAAUAUUUUUUAAAUCUAAUAAAUCAUGAAUUUAAUAUAGAUCAUAUCUAACAAAUUUAUGAUUAAAGAUAGAUCUACACGAACUAAGACAACCUUUGCACUAUUAGGGGGUAAACCUUACAGCAGGACAACCUACAGUUCGUGAUUGAUCUGAAAAUUUUAAUUUCAUAUUUAACAAUCAGAUUAUAAAUUAGAUCUAAUCUAAGAAAUAAUCUAAGCAUGUAUAAAUAAUCAUGUAAUAAACAACCUAGGCUCUGAUACCAAUUGAAGGAACCAGAUCUUGGGUUUCAGGGUUAGAUCUUUGAAAUUUUUUCAAAAUCAGACAG
rnacentral:lncRNA from 1 species